AGGGGAGGUCAAAGGAGUUGACUUUUUAUACGUUCAUAAUUGGGGAAAACUUCCUUCAUGAAAGUUGUAGAGCUCGUCGAUACGAUCUCGUGCAUAUGUGGUAUGCAAAAAUCAGAGUUCGUAUGAAUUAGUUAUGAUUUUUUUGAAAAAGUUUCCAGUUUAGUAUAAAGCUGCCAUUUUUGGAAAUUACCAAAAAUAAUUUCAGUUCCAUUUCUGGAAACCGAACUCUCUCUCUCUUGCGCGCGUCCGAGCCCAGAAAAAACAGAGCAAAGCUCUCCGGCCGAGUUCUCCCUCCUCCGGCCACCAAUCGACACCAGACCACCUCCCUUGCCUUCGCCUCGACGCCGCCUACCUGCUAGACGUGAUCACUUCCACCGGAACGGCCUCAAAUCCGGCAGUCGGAGCCGCAAACUUUGAAACAAAAAUCGGUCAACGCCGGUUUUCUCCUAGCUCCGGCCACCAAAACUCACGAUCCUUAGCUCCCUGAACUCGCCUCAACCUUCUGAUCAUCAUUCUAGAAGGAUCGCACCUGGAGUGAUCGGAUUCACGUUCGUCGGAGCUCGCCGGAUUCUGGAAAUUUUCCACCACCACCGAAGCUUUUGAUAGAAGGAAUCGAAGCCUGAAAUUGAAGUUUUGACGUCGAAAUCAAGCCUUGCCGGAUUCUGCAAAAUUCUGGAAUUUUUCCGACCACCGAAGCUUUCGAUCGGUAUAUCUCGAGCUACAGACCAUAUUUUUCUGUGAUUCUUGAACCAGUGAGUUCUUCUUGAGUUUCUUAACAACUCUUCAGAAGGAAUCGAAGCCUUAAAUUGACGUUUUUACGUCGAAUUGGAGCUCGCCGUUUUCUGCAGUUUCUCGCCGGUUUCUGGAAAAUUCCGGCCACCUUCAUACUGUUCAAGGUGAUCGACGGUUUGAUUUGGCGGACGAUUCGUGAAAUUGUAUUUUGAGCUGUUAAGAAGACGCAGCGGGAAUUUAGAGCGGGUAAUCCUACAGGUCAGGAGAACCAGGACGGUGAUCGGGCUGCUUAGAGUAGUGUUAUGUGAAUUACAGCAUUAUAUUGUGAGGUUUGUUAUGCUCAUUUAGAGCUUUACGAUUUUACUUUGUAAGAGUGAAUUGUAAUAAUUAACUCGAGGUUUUCGAGUUUUGUGUUGA